UGCAUGAGAGGCAGCUUUUGAAGAAGUUCAACCAAGCCAAGGGUAAGGUCCCACACCUGGGUCUGGGCAAUCCCAGGCACAGCUACAGGUUGAGCAGAGAAGAGAUUCAGAGCAGCCCUGCAGAGAAGGACUUGGGGGU